AUUGAACGCUGGCGGCAGGCCUAACACAUGCAAGUCGAGCGAGCGGCGGACGGGUGAGUAAUGUCUGGGGAACUGCCCGAUGGAGGGGGAUAACUACUGGAAACGGUAGCUAAUACCGCAUACCAUCGGAUGUGCCCAUAUGGGAUUAGCUAGUAGGUGAGGUAACGGCUCACCUAGGCGACGAUCCCUAGCUGGUCUGAGAGGAUGACCAGCCACACUGGGACUGAGACACGGCCCAGACUCCUACGUGAGGCAGCAGUGGGGAAUAUUGCACAAUGGGCGCAAGCCUGAUGCAGCCAUGCCGCGUGUAUGAAGAAGGCCUUCGGGUUGUAAAGUACUUUCAGCGGGGAGGCGUUACCGACAGAAGAAGCACCGGCUAACUCCGUGCCAGCAGCCGCGGUAAUAC
rnacentral:rRNA from 1 species